UACGAAGGGGGGCUAGCGUUGCUCGGAAUCACUGGGCGUAAAGCGCACGUAGGCGGCUUCUUAAGUCAGGGGUGAAAUCCUGGAGCUCAACUCCAGAACUGCCUUUGAUACUGGGAGCUUGGAGUCCGGGAGAGGUGAGUGGAACUGCGAGUGUAGAGGUGAAAUUCGUAGAUAUUCGCAAGAACACCAGUGGCGAAGGCGGCUCACUGGCCCGAUACUGACGCUGAGGCACGAAAGCGUGGGGAGCAAACAGGG
rnacentral:rRNA from 1 species